rnacentral:rRNA from 1 species
CCUACGGGAGGCAGCAGUGGGGAAUAUUGGACAAUGGGGGGAACCCUGAUCCAGCCAUGCCGCGUGUGUGAAGAAGGCCCUCGGGUUGUAAAGCACUUUCAGUGAGGAAGAACGCCUGGUGGUUAAUACCCAUCAGGAAAGACAUCACUCACAGAAGAAGCACCGGCUAACUCCGUGCCAGCAGCCGCGGUAAUACGGAGGGUGCGAGCGUUAAUCGGAAUUACUGGGCGUAAAGCGCGCGUAGGUGGCUUGAUAAGCCGGUUGUGAAAGCCCCGGGCUCAACCUGGGAACGGCAUCCGGAACUGUCAAGCUAGAGUGCAGGAGAGGAAGGUAGAAUUCCCGGUGUAGCGGUGAGAUGCGUAGAGAUCGGGAGGAAUACCAGUGGCGAAGGCGGCCUUCUGGACUGACACUGACACUGAGGUGCGAAAGCGUGGGUAGCAAACAGGAUUAGAUACCCUGGUAGUC